GCCGAUACGAAUGAUAACGGCGGUGCGGCUGCAUGCGCUCGUUCCACGCCCGAACGCGUGGCGAAGGGCGAAAACAAUACGGGAUCGUUACAAGAUAAAUGGUCCCCAAAGUCAACCACUGCUAACUACUAAGUGCUCGGGUUUGCUGACAGCGCAUCACGAUCGUCUGCGGGCGCUGUAUUAUAACGUCGCGCCGGCGGCGUCUUGUCUCGUCCACCCGGCAGCGAUAUGCGUGUACGUAUUUUGUCGCAUGCCCAGCAGGAAUCUCUUUCACGAACGGCAUCCGCUGAACUAAGUGACGCAUGAAGCAGCCUGCGCGCGUGAUCUCAGCGGCAGUCGUGAGAAGGGCAGACGCGGCUCACCUGUCAUGGAGCUGAUGCCGAGUGUCAGCGACAUGUUCCUGUCGACCAAGAACAGCCGGUGCAGGAAGCGGUUCUGCUGCGGCCGCCUGCGGCGCAUGUCUGUCGUCGAGACCUGGCCAUCCUCCUUGAAGACGUGCAGCUUGCGGCCCGACCACACGCCCACGCACACGAUGACGAUGAAAUACAACAGCAUGGCCAGCACCGCCGGGAUGUGCACCGCCAUGGUGCCUCUUCUUCAUCUUCUUCAUCUCACUAGCCGCGCGUGCUCGGCCUCGAACUUGCGCGAGACGCUUUGCUCACGUAGAGCUAUCGCAGCGCCGUGCUCGCCGGCUGAUCGGAGUUUCUGCCGCCAUUAAUUAACACACCCGACCAGACAGAAAAUGGGAGGCAGCGCUGUCCACCUCCGACUCGUUUGACCGUCUCGAACUGGUCGACCGAGUGAGGAGGACAGCUAAGGUCGCUGGAAUGCUGGACUGAGAGGACCCCCUGCCCACUGCAGGGCGGAAGAACUUCCCGGCGCUCACUUCGAUCGCGUGCUGUUCUGGAAAUUUUUUUAGCUCUCUCGCUCUCGUUAUCCAUUAGCCCCAACGAUGAUCGGUGCUUGGUAUAAUUUAUUGCCCCAGAACGGAGACACGCUCUAAACUGGUUGCUUUAUCCUAGCUGUGCAUAGCCUUUGCAUCAAAGAUACGAUUAAGAAAACCUACCUCGUCCUCGUCUGAAUGGCCGAAUGUACUACCUGCAUUCUUGCGGUUGCGGGGCUACUAUCAAACACGUGCACUCCAGGAAAUAAUGUGCACCCUUUUGAAAAUUAUCUUGACCCGCCAUGGUCGCGUAGUGACUUUGGUGCUGCGCUGAUAACCACGAGGUCACGGGAUCAUAUAUCCCGGCCGCGGCUGCUCAUUUUGAUGAGGGCGAAA